rnacentral:rRNA from 1 species
GACAGAGGUCUCGAGCGUUAGGCGGAAUCACUGGGCUUAAAGCGUGUGUAGGUGGAUUUGUAAGUACCUUGUGAAAUCCCACGGCUUAACCGUGGAACUGCUUGGUAUACUGCUUAUCUUGGGCCAUCUAGGGGUUACCGGAACAAACGGUGGAGCGGUGAAAUGCGUAGAUAUCGUUUGGAACGCCAAUGGUGAAAACAGGUAACUGGGGAUGUGCCGACACUGAGACACGAAAGCCAGGGGAGCGAACGGG